rnacentral:lncRNA from 1 species
AAGCUUCAAGUUGCAUCCUACUACAACCAUGUUAUCUCCCUUAUGCUAUAUCAUCAUACCAUCUCCAUCAUCAACAUCCUGCACCAUUCAAUACAUGAAAAAAACAAAAUGAAAAGAAUUUAAAAAAAAGAGGUUGAGCUAGUUGGCACGAGUUCCUUGCUGCAAGGGCAUCACCAUCCAACCACGCCUCGUUCAUGAUAGCAUCAUCACACCUGCAUAUGCAUACAUACUAAUUGAAAAAAGAGAAGAAUAAAAAAUAAUUUGAAUUCAAGUUGGAGCGCACGAGCUCUUCACCCUAACAUUAGCAACAUCCACACGUCCAUCUCCAUAUAACAUUCAUUCACAACAUAUACAUCA